rnacentral:tRNA from 1 species
CUGUAGCUCAGCAGGAUAGAGCAUCAGCCUUCUAAGCUGAGGGCCAGGGGUUCGACUCCCUUCAG